GAUGAACGCUGGCGGCGUGCCUAAUACAUGCAAGUCGAGCGAACGGACGAGAAGCUUGCUUCUCUAAUGUUAGCGGCGGACGGGUGAGUAACACGUGGAUAACCUACCUAUAAGACUGGGAUAACUUCGGGAAACCGUAGCUAAUACCGGAUAAUAUUUUGAACCGCAUGGUUCAAAAGUGAAAGACGGUCUUGCUGUCACUUAUAGAUGGAUCCGCGCUGCAUUAGCUAGUUGGUAAGGUAACGGCUUACCAAGGCAACGAUGCAUAGCCGACCUGAGAGGGUGAUCGGCCACACUGGAACUGAGACACGGUCCAGACUCCUACGGGAGGCAGCAGUAGGGAAUCUUCCGCAAUGGGCGAAAGCCUGACGGAGCAACGCCGCGUGAGAGAUGAAGGUCUUCGGAUCGUAAAACUCUGUUAUUAGGGAAGAACAUAUGUGUAAGUAACUGUGCACAUCUUGACGGUACCUAAUCAGAAAGCCACGGCUAACUACGUG
rnacentral:rRNA from 1 species